GACGAACCGAGCGAACGUUAUUCGGAAUCACUGGGCUUAAAGGGCGCGUAGGCGGGCGGCCAAGUCAGGGGUGAAAGCCCCCAGCUCAACUGGGGAAGUGCCUUUGAUACUGGCCAUCUCGAGGGAGGUAGGGGCGUGCGGAACUUCCGGUGGAGCGGUGAAAUGCGUAGAUAUCGGAAGGAGCACCGGUGGCGAAAGCGGCGCGCUGGACCUCUUCUGACGCUGAGGCGCGAAAGCCAGGGGAGCAAACGGG
rnacentral:rRNA from 1 species